rnacentral:rRNA from 1 species
AUUGAACGCUGGCGGCAUGCCUUACACAUGCAAGUCGAACGGCAGCACGGGAGCUUGCUCCUGGUGGCGAGUGGCGAACGGGUGAGUAAUGCAUCGGAACGUGCCCUGAAGUGGGGGAUAACGUAGCGAAAGUUACGCUAAUACCGCAUAUUCUGUGAGCAGGAAAGCAGGGGAUCUUCGGACCUUGCGCUUUUGGAGCGGCCGAUGUCGGAUUAGCUAGUUGGUGGGGUAAAGGCCCACCAAGGCGACGAUCCGUAGCGGGUCUGAGAGGAUGAUCCGCCACACUGGAACUGAGACACGGUCCAGACUCCUACGGGAGGCAGCAGUGGGGAAUUUUGGACAAUGGGCGCAAGCCUGAUCCAGCCAUGCCGCGUGAGUGAAGAAGGCCUCGGUUGGUAA